AUAAGAGAACCUCCUUGUGCUUUGCAUUCCCAAGUUAGUGAUAGGGGAGGGUUUAGGGUGAAAAGACCUCCCAGAUGGGUGGCUACAUGGUGACAUAAAUGUAUCUCUUCCAACUGACUGGGCGGAUCCAGGUGCUUUACCUUCCCAGGUGAGUAGCUGUGGGUGGGGUCAUUUCCCAGGUUGCCUCCCCUGUUGACCAGCAGAUCCUCUGCCAGAGCUAGUUUGGAGCUGACCAUCAUGGGCAAGCAUCGGUUGUUGGCUCGCUGUCCGGUCCUGUUUCUCCUAGCUAUUGCCUUUGACAUAGGAGGGCUCAGCCUGAUCCUGGUCGGUGUCUUUGUGAACUUGGAGAAGGACGGCAGGAGCUUCGGGGAGUUUCUGAUCUUCAGCGGUGGAAUUCUGGUGUUCUUCAGCCUUCUGUGGUGGCUGGCAUGGUAUUCAUUUAACCUAGAGGUAUCUAUGGAGGAGUUGCUGAUGGACCUGCCCGCUGAGCCCAAGAAGAGCAGCUUGGUGCAGUUAGCUAGGAAGUUCUCCGAGAGGUUCUCCAAGAGGGGUAGGAGGAAAGUUUUAACUAUGGAGACCCACAGUACCGCAAAUCAGUCAGGGGUACCCGAAAUCGGAAGUCCAGCUAUUUUCAUAAACGGGGGCUUUAACACCCAGAAUCUGAAGGACAAACACUUGGAGAUGAACCCUUUGCCUAGUCCGGACACCCAGCUGGUGGUUUGUGUUCAGGAGAUGGAGGAGAGGCUGGUCUGAGGGCUCUGAGUACCCGGUGUAAAGAAUGUUUACAUGGCAAGACGACCACACGUGGAUCACGUGCAACUUCAGCUCAUCACCGAAACUCCAGCGCAGAUUUUUAUGGCUUUACUUGAACACAAUCAUUUCAUCCUGUGAUCCAAAAUCUUCUCCUCCAGAUCUGGGUUUAUAAUGUUACAUGCCGGAUAUGUCCCAUUGUCUUAUUUCAGUGGUUACUUUUGUGUGUUUUUUUGUGUGUUUUUUUUACCUUUCAACUGAAAUAUAUCUUGGAUCUUUUUUGACUUUAUUUUGCACAAAAUGAAAGAUCUUCACAACCUGUUACUAAAGACCUUGUUUGCAUCUUUAUAGCUAACCGUUACCUGCACACGGUAUAUAAGGUGCUAAGUUUCUCUUUGUCAUGAGAAACGGUUUAUGAACAUUAUUUCACUUAGUAUCUAUAGUGACCAAUACCAAGGAGAGAUCUUUUUGUAUUGCAUCUGAAAGACUUAGCAGCACUUUGCGUUGUUUUACUAUUUUUGUUUUAUAUUUAUAAAUACAUCUGGGAAAUAGCAGCAGGUUUUUUUCACACUCAGAAUGUAAUAAAUAUUGGUGUAUUUAUGGAAGGUGCAUCCCUUCAGGCAAUGGAAUUAUCUUUUUAUAGAUAUUUUAUAUUUUUUAUUAUGUGCGUUUAUGUGAAGUAUAGCAAAUAAAUAUAUUUCUCUCAGGGAUCUUCUAUUUAAAGGGUUUCUUUUGUCUUUGAUACAGGUUUGAGUGAUUAUGGUGUUGAAACAAAAUCUAAAAUAGUUUGGUUUUUUUUUUUCCUCUAACCCCUUCCCGCCCUUAAGACGUUCUAUGCCGUCCUAACUGCACUGGGUUUUAACGCCCUUAGGACGGCAUAGAACGUCCUAGCCUUUGGUCUGUACUAAAGCCAAAAUCGCUUCCCGAAUGGGAACGUGGACUGGAGGGCGUGUCUAGCGUCAUAUUCACUCCCCCCAGACACAAUCCCAUCAUUGAAAUCACGCGAUCGCGAGAUUUCACUUUUUAACUUAUUUCUUUACAUUGGAACUUUGUUCUGAUGUAGACAAAUAAGUUCGGCCGGGAAGGGGUUAAUAGACUUCUAACCCAUUACAGGCCUGAGGCAAAAGUGCUUGUGCACUGCACUAAGCAGAGAGCAUUGCAGGUUCUUUUUGUAAAAUAGACUUAUGCAAUAAAUAAUGGCAGCAAUUUGUAUAGGUUCAGGAAUGUGCAUUCUGUAUACCUCACUUAUACAGCGGGUUAGGGACCAGAGCGCCGCUGUAAAGUGAAACAAGGCAGUUUUAGCUUUCAGUGUGUUUAAGACUUGUUUGCACUGACUUAUAUUAGAGGUGCAAUAAGACUUGUUUGCUCUGACUUAUAUUAGAGGUGCGAUAAGACUUGUUUGCACUGACUUAUAUUAGAGGUGCAAUAAGACUUGUUUGCUCUGACUUAUAUUAGAGGUGCGAUAAGACUUGUUUGCACUGACUUAUAUUAGAGGUGCAAUAAGACUUGCUUGCAUUGACUUAUAUUAGAGGUGCGAUAAGACUUGCUUGCACUGACUUAUAUUAGAGGUGCGAUAAGACUUGCUUGCACUGACUUAUAUUAGAGGUGCAAUAAGACUUGUUUGCACUGACUUAUAUUAGAGGUGCAAUAAGACUUGCUUGCACUGACUUAUAUUAGAGGUGCAAUAAGACUUGUUUGCACUGACUUAUAUUAGAGGUGCAAUAAGACUUUCUUGCAUUGACUUAUAUUAGAGGUGCAAUAAGACUUGCUUGCACUGACUUAUAUUAGAGGUGCAAUAAGACUUGCUUGCACUGACUUAUAUUAGAGGUGCGAUAAGACUUGUUUGCACUGACUUAUAUUAGAGGUGCAAUAAGACUUGUUUGCACUGACUUAUAUUAGAGGUGCAAUAAGACUUGUUUGCACUGACUUAUAUUAGAGGUGCAAUAGCACUAAGUUUAGUUUACCACUAGCACAUUACAGUAUUCUAUAAAUGCUGUACCUGUAAAACCAUUACUGGAGUACAAUUUGCCAGACUAUAGCACUGAGACACAGAUCGCACUGUAAUGCUGUGAACUGCGCCGAACAAAAUGGUGCCAGUCACUUUUCUUGCACGAUGAGUACAACACUAUUUCAAAAUCCUUGGAGGUUGAACGUCAGCUCCACAAAGCGAUGUAUUAGCGAAACGCUGUAAAGUGAGGCGCACCGGUAUAUUUUGGAGACUGUAUUGUAUGUAGCUGCCAUAUAGCGUGCGACACGUGCACUCUUGAUCUUCAAUUAGGGAACAAAACAAAGGACAUUGUGAUCAUGUAAUUAGAAACCUUCUUUUACUAUUGCACUAGUUAUCUGAACUAUGAAAACUUUUAAAGGGACGUGAAGCCCAUUAUUUUUCUUUCAUGAUUCAGAAUACAAUUUUAAAAAAAGGUUUCCAACUCCUAUUAUCAAAUGUGAUUUUGUUCUCUUGUUCUUUGUUGAAAAUAAUAUCUUGGUAGGCAGCGUGCACAUGUCUGGAGCACUACAUGACAGGAAAUAGUUCUCUUGCUAAACUGCAGACACGUGCACGCUCCUGAGCUUAGCCUCCUGUUUUUCAACAAAGGAUAGCAGGAAAACAAAGACUUUGAUAAUAGAAGUAAAUUGGAAAGUUGAUUAAAGAUUGUUCCAUUUGAAUCGUGAAAGAAACAUUUUUGCUUUUAGCUCCUUUUUUUUUUUUUUUUUUUUUUUUUUUUUUUAUGUUGACAUCCAUGUCUCCUUAAUGACUCAAAUAUAAACAAAGAACUGAGGGAGGAGAAAUCCCCACCAUAGAACACGGCAGUGCAGAUUAAAUUAAGGACUAGAUUAUGAGUGGAGCGUUAUUUAUCGGUCCUGCUCGUGUGUUAACCCUGCUAGAAGUAAGCUUUUUGCGCAUGUCGGGAAGCACUCUUGUUAAAAGUAAAUAGGUUUCGCUCGCACGCUGAUCCAAUGGGUGCAAAAGCUGAACUUCAAAUAUUGUUAUAGCUUUAACGUAUUCGCCAUAGCAGUCAAUGGAGCAAGAUCGUGUUUUCUCAACUGCCCUAACCUGACACGAAAAUAUGAAUAUUUCACAUUCCAAUGAUUUAUACAUAGCAGGAUAUGUUCUAUUUAUUUAAAACCAAAUAUUUCUAUAUCUGAUGGUAUUUUGGUAACGAGAAUAUGAGAGAGAAAACACACAGUUAUACACUUUAUUAAAAAUAACUAUUGCAUAAACAUGAUUUUAUAUGUUUUCAGCUACUUGACUGCAAAGGCUCCAACGCACUUAUAUAUGUCUACUUGUGUAUUUAUGUGUGUGUGUGUGAGUAUACUGUGUGUGUGUGUAUCUUUGUUUUAAAGCCCUUUGCCUGCGUUUUUUUUUUUUUUUAAAUUCUAACACCUGAGAUCUCAUAUCUUUGAGCCCUUAACUUAUUUUUUGUUUACUACUUUAUUAGACAGUGGUGCUAUGAGUGUCACUGUACUUUGUAGUGUUUUGUGGAACUUUUUAUUCAAGCAUAAGUUAAACAGAGCUCUGAGGUUGUGCUAUUCCAACACGCAUUCAAUUGCGUUCAAGUGAUCGCCGUUACUUUUAACUUGUAAUACACGCGCUACUUCCGAUACGAGCAAACAGCUGUGAUGAUGUCUAUCGCUUGCGCACAACUGUUAGUUCGCCACUUAUCUGCCCCUAAGGCUGUAUAUAGAUGUAAAAAUCUUAUUUAAAGAGUUUCUAGGUUCUCCCUGUCAUAGCUGAAAGGAAUAGCAAACGCCAUUUUUAUUUUUUUCAUGAUUCAGAAAGAGCAGCAAUUUUAGGCAACUUUCUAAUUUACUCAUUUUAUCAAUUUUUACUUCAUUUUCUUGCUAUCUUUAUUUGAAAAUCAAGAAUGUAAGCUUAGAAGUCAGCUCAUUUUUGGUUCAGCACCUGGGUUGUGCUUGCUGAUUGGUGGCUAAAUAUAGCCACCAAUCAGCAAGCGCUAUCCAUGGUCUGAACCAAAAAUAGUCUGGCUUCUUAGCUUCGAUUUCUGCUUUUUUUAAAUAAAGAUAGAAAGAGAACGAAGAAAAUUUGAUAAUAGGAGUAAAUUAGAAAGUUGCUUAAAAUUGCUGCUCUUUCUGAAUGAUGAAAGAAAACAUUUGGGUUUACUAUCCCUUUAAUUUAUAAAAUCCUUAAAGGGAUAUUGUAGUCCAAUAUUUUUUUUUUUUUUUUCCCCCCUCCAUCUAAAGUAAAAUGCAAACAUUGGGCCAGAAUACAAAUGGCGCACUAACUCUUGCGUGCGAGUGAUAACAAGUUUAUUGUGUCUGCGCAGUCGCAAGUAGCGCGCAUAUUAUAAGUAAACGUGAAUGCAAUAGAAUAUAACACACAUCGGGAUAGCGCAACUUCAGAGUUCUGGUUUACUGUUACACUCAAAGUGUCGCAAAAGACAUCAAAAAUACAUUUAAAAGUUACUCAUAAUGUAAACCAAAAAAUUGCGUAAAAGUUUUAUAUUAUAAGGGCUCAAAGAUAUGAGGCCUCAAUGUUAGGGGAAAAAAUGGCAGGCAAAUGGCUUUAACAUAGAGAGACCGAUAGCGAUGUAUUGGAGCCGUUACACUCAAGUAGCUGUAAACCUGUAAAAUUAUAUUUAUGUAAUAUUCAUUUUCAAAAAAGUAUUUACUGAGAACAUAUUCCCCUAUCAGAAGAACAUUGGAAUAUGAAAUGUUUAAAGUAUUUUUAAAUUAGAUAUUCCCGUGUGUUUUACUAAAAUACCAUCAGACAUUUGUAGAAAUAUGGGUUGAUGAAUAAAUAAAACAUUCUAUGUGAACAAUGUAAAAUAUUCAUAUUUCUAUGUCGGGUUAGCGCUUUUGAGAAAAUGGGAUCUGGUUUGCGCAAGUAGGUUGUUAGGUUUUUUUUUUCCCACUUUUCUUGCGCCAUUGAUUUCUAUGUUCUAUGGGGGAAUGUGUCAAUGCAUUUGUGAAAUUUGAAGGCCAGCAUUUUGAACGCAUCUAUUUAGUGUUACUUUCAAUAAAAGUAUGAGCGCAACUUGACGGGUGCAAAAAGCUUACUCCUAGCAGAGUUUAUAAUAGAAGUAAAUUAGAAGUAUUUUUAUUUUUUAUAAUGGUAUCCUUUGUCUAAAUAACCACAAAAAAAUGUGGAGUUUUAUAUUUUUAUAUCCCUAAGUAUAUAAAUUUUGUGUUUAGGUGGGGCUAGGAAAGGCAAAAUUGGCUAUUUGAAACAUCCAAAUAAAGGUAAAGGAAAUAUUUGUGAACACUUCAAUACACUUCAGCAUUUAUAGAUUAUUCAAAACAAAUUAAAAUGAUGGGGAGUUAAGGUACACUGUGUUUUUUUUUUUUUUUUUUUUUUUUUUUUUAAUAAUAAUAAUAAUAAUAAUAAAAAAAAACUGAAGUAUCCUAUAGAUGUUGGAUAUAACUUGGGACACUUUUACUUUGAUGUUUGGGUUGGGGGUGAUAUCGCGUCUCAUGAAUAUAUGAAACUAAUUGCUACAAAUUACAGUUUUAUCCAUAUCUCCUGUUUAUUGCUGCCAAAUACUGAGCUUUCCUCAGAACAUGUAGUGAUGUUAUAGGAACCCACAGCAUUAGACACUGAGGAUGUUUCUCCUUUUCAUAUUCAUUGUAUAUUAUAAUGUCUGACGUAUUGUUCUGUUUUUAUUACUUUAUAUAUUUAUAUUGGGACAAUUGUUUGUAAAUGUUUUUGCUUGUUCUGUGAAUAAAGGUUUCAGUAAAACCA